rnacentral:misc_RNA from 1 species
UCGAAAGCUCCGGCUUUUGCUGUGCCUUGAACCCUUUGAUGUCUGAACCUUUGUUGCUUCCGUCGGGCAAUACUCCCCAACAGGGAUCUUUGACCGAUGGAGGGUAUUUGGGAACUCGGUUGUUUAAAUGUUGUUAGUCUGAAAUGUUUGAGAUGAAAUGCUCAAGAAAACA